rnacentral:rRNA from 1 species
CAAGACCCUGCGCUUUUGGAGCGGCCGAUGUCUGAUUAGCUAGUUGGUGGGGUAAAGGCUUACCAAGGCUUCGAUCAGUAGCUGGUCUGAGAGGACGACCAGCCACACUGGGACUGAGACACGGUCCAGACUCCUACGGGAGGCAGCAGUGGGGAAUUUUGGACAAUGGGGGAAACCCUGAUCCAGCCAUGCCGCGUGAGUGAAGAAGGCCUUCGGGUUGUAAAGCUCUUUCAGCCGGAACGAAAAGGUCAUGGCUAAUACCCGUGACAAAUGACGGUACCGGAAGAAGAAGCACCGGCUAACUACGUGCCAGCAGCCGCGGUAAUACGUAGGGUGCAAGCGUUAAUCGGAAUUACUGGGCGUAAAGCGUGCGCAGGCGGUUUUGUAAGUCAGAUGUGAAAUCCCCGGGCUUAACCUGGGAACU